CUGCUCCCAAGUUUGACCUCAGUGCCCGAUUGAAGAGUCAUACGGUGGUUUGCGCUGGGACAGCCCUCUGCAUCCACGCCGCCUUCUCUGUGAGUCAUUCCUGACCCUGACCCCCAGAGGCCCACCACUAAACCCAGAUGGUUACCAUGGCUGCCAUAGCCUCUCCCUCUGCCCCUCGCCAGACCUCUGGCACUAGAGGCUGAUAGGAGACUCCUGGACAGUGGGAGGGGGCCAGCCCCCAAACACCACCCAGGUGACCCAUGGUGCUAUCUCCUGUCACCACCCAGGGCUCCCCACCACCCAUCGUGAUCUGGCUGAAAGAUGGCAUCCCUACCAAGGGCCGGGAAAUUAUCACCAAGAGCAAAAACCACUCCCAGUUCCUCAUCAAGAGCACCAAGUGCUCUGACUCAGGGGUGUACCACACUGAGCUCCAGAAUGUGUCUGGAGAGGUAUACCACGACUUCCACGUGUGUGUGGCAGAUUUUCUGCGGCCACCCACAAAGCUACAGGAGGAGGUCACCAACACGGUGACUCUGACCUGGAACCACAGCCCCCGACCUUCAGGAGGGCGGCGAGGUCCACUACACUAUCAUGGAGCGGGAUGCCAGCACCACCACCUGGCUCAAGGCGGUCGACCGCGUCUUCAGCAACAAGUACACGGUGACCGACUCGCUCCUCGGCAGGAAGUACUACUUCCGAGUGCUGGCCCAGAACGCAGCGGUGACUCCAAUGGUACCUGCCUGGCUUGUCAACAAGGACCGGAGACCUGAGCACCAAGCUGAAGCCGUACCAGCAGAAGGGCUGGCGCCACGUGCUGCGCGGCCAGGAUUGCACCGUGACCCGCGCCUUCCUGGGGAACCCGCGCCCCACCAUCACCCUCUACAAGGGCCACGUCAACAUCACAGCCAACUCACGGUUCUGGUACAUCUCCACUAGCAGCGUGUGCACCAUCGUCAUCCCCACCUGCACGCUCAAGGACAGCGGCGAGUACUGCGUGCUGGUGGAGAAUAAGCUGGGCAAGGACUGCAGCAGCUGCAAGCUUACCGUCUACCGUGAGGGUGCCGAGCCUGCCUCCAGCAGGCCUGGAG
rnacentral:lncRNA from 1 species